GAACGGCAGCACGGACUUCGGUCUGGUGGCGAGUGGCGAACGGGUGAGUAAUGUAUCGGAACGUGCCUAGUAGCGGGGGAUAACUACGCGAAAGCGUAGCUAAUACCGCAUACGCCCUACGGGGGAAAGCAGGGGAUCGCAAGACCUUGCACUAUUAGAGCGGCCGAUAUCGGAUUAGCUAGUUGGUGGGGUAACGGCUCACCAAGGCGACGAUCCGUAGCUGGUUUGAGAGGACGACCAGCCACACUGGGACUGAGACACGGCCCAGACUCCUACGGGAGGCAGCAGUGGGGAAUUUUGGACAAUGGGGGAAACCCUGAUCCAGCCAUCCCGCGUGUGCGAUGAAGGCCUUCGGGUUGUAAAGCACUUUUGGCAGGAAAGAAACGUCAUGGGCUAAUACCCCGUGAAACUGACGGUACCUGCAGAAUAAGCACCGGCUAACUACGUG
rnacentral:rRNA from 1 species